GGAAAAAUAAGAAUGCAGCAGACACAAAGGCAAUGAAAGCAAACAAGUGAACAUAGAACAGCUCCAGUUAGACCUAAGUGAGGGCUAAAAGGUAGCUUGGGUGCAGAUAUGGAAAUUCUCCAUCAUUAUUAAAAGCCUAAGGUUUGUCUUUGUAUUUUGUUGCAACUUCAUUUCAGUAAGUAUAUUUAAAAGAAAUAUUCUGUAUUUAGUUCUCAGUCAAAUUCAGACAGAUCAACCACACAGCCAGACAGUUCACACGCUCUCGCUACUUGGGUACUCCCCCUUGUUUGACGUGCCCAGCUCUCUCAUACUUUGUCUCAGGAACACAGUUCAAACUACAUGGCAACAUCUAAGAACUGGUGACUCAAAGGAUGAGAAGAGUGACCAAUGACAGCCGCAAAAGUUUCCUGGUAAGAGGAAAAACUAUAUUGCGCCCACCUGAAUGCACAGGUCUUGAGGCAGUUUAUGGCACUGACUCGUAUCUAGCAGAGAGAGGCUGUCUACACCACAUUUACAGCCAAGCCAAGAAAUUGCCAGGUGCCACUGUCCAACACCUAAUGUCUAAUCCUCCUGACAAACCUGGAUCUUGCUAUGGGUGUAUCUUGGCUGUGGUCCUGUGUUAUGGCAGGAGCACGUAUACAAGAUCCAGCCACAGCACAGCUCUGUGACUGCGGCUCAGCGAAGUGCCAGGGACAGUGCAAUCAGAGUGUGAAUCUGCACAUCUCUUCCGUGAAAGGAGUCAUGAUAUUAUAAAUAGUUAAACCUGAAUAUAUCAGGCUCUUUGCACAAGCAAGAUAAUUUUGGAUACUGAAGGUGUAUUUGCUUUUCUUUCACUUGACAACCUCCCUUUUAUUUUUAAAAUAUUACAUUUUCUCACAUAAUCCAAUUCAACGUACUGUUUGCUACCACUGGCCUAUUUAGUGCUCUAAAUACACCAUUCUGCUAUCAGAAAACAAAUUAUGGACUACAUUUAUUUGGUAUCUGCCAUUUGAACAUUACAAUAUGGUUAAUAGAUUUGUAGACCAUUCGUAAUAGCAUGUUUUGUUGGGCUUUUGUGUAACAGUGUGACAGGUAUUGUGCAACAAACCCAUAGAAAUGAACUGUCCUGUCACAAGUUACGUCUAUACACAGCUGAAUAAAAGCUGUCAUUCCCCUAUUUCCAUACAUUACAUGCUAAGGCUAAUGAGCUUUUAUUAGGAAAAAUCCUGUUUCUGCCAGACUAACAAAUAAAGCUUUAAACAAUUUUUGUCCACAUGACUUUCAAGGAAAAAGAAGUCAGACAGGAUCUACCAUUAAGCAUCUUUUUAUUGUAGUCUUUAAUGUACAUGCAGAAUUUUAAAAAAAGGUGUCAGUUAUAUCUGUAAGCUUAUAACAAUAAUGUAAAUGUUUGGAUCAGCAAUGUAUUUUGAUUAGGGACUAAGAACUCUAAGUGAACAGACAUCUUUCAGGAUAUACAAUUUAUAUGGUAAAUCAAGGUUUUCUUCGGAGUGAUUUUUCUCAUAAAAGAUAAAAUAUUUCUUGUUUACGAUCUUGGCUGUUUUUAAUACUGAAAAAAUCUAUAAUAGUACACUCUUCAUUAUGUACAUAGAAAAACAUAAAACUAUAUCCAUACCAGUGUCUGUUUUAAAUGCAAAUAGUAGUUAAUAGCUUUGUAAAUUUUUGUGCACCCUCUCCCCUUUUCCCUCCCCACCCCCAUUUAAAAAUGCAGCAUUUCCUAAAGUUUUCAAUGCUUUGGCAGAAACAGAAUGGAAGGCACUUCCAUGUUAGGUAAAGCAAUAUGUGAAAUGUCAGCACUAAAUAAAAAAGUUGUAGGUGUACAGACAGCUCCAUGUUCAUCCCAAGGGACAAAUUUUGCAGUUCUGCAGGUCAAGAACUGGUUUGCUAGAGAUUCCAGCUGGAGCAGGCUCAGACCCCAGCUUGGUUUACAAUAAAGCAGAUUAGCCUCACAACUGUUUUUACAAAUGCUUCACACAAACCAAUGAGGAUGCAGAGAGCAUCUCUGAACACAGUACUAUCAUGAGGGCAAAAAGCUCUUGCAGGUCACAGCAUCAGAACAUGUCACAAAGGCCCUUCCACUUUGCAACACGGUAUUUCACACAACACCCUCUGUUCAAGACUUCCUGAUGUGGCAGCUCAGCUAAAAAUGAACAAAG